AUGGGCAUCUCUCGGGAGAACUGACACAAGCACCGCAAGACCGGGGGCAAGAGAAAGCCCUACCACAAGAAGCGGAAGUAUGAGCAGGGGUGCCCAGCUGCCAACACCAACAUUGGCCCCUGCCACGUCCACACAGUCCAUGUUUGAGGAGGUAACAAGAAAUACCGUGCCCUAAGGCUGCAUGUAGGGAAUUUCUCCUGGGGCUCAGCGUUGUAUUUGCAAAACAAGGAUCAUCGAUGUUGUCUACAAUGCGUUUAAUAACGAGCUGGUCCAUAACAAGACCCUGGUGAAGAAUUGCUUCAUGCUCAUUGACAGCACACCAUACUCAUCGACAGCACACCGUAUGGACAGUGGUACGAGUCCCACUAUGCGCUACCCCUGGGCCACAAGAAAGGAGACAAGCUGACUCCUGAGGAAGAAGAGAUUUUAAACAAAAAAUGAUCUAAAAAAUUUCAGAAGAAAUCGAUGAAAGGAAAAAAAAAGGCCAAAAUCAGCAGUCUCCUGGAGGAGCAGUUCCAGCAGGGCAAGCUUCUUGCGUGCAUCACUUCAAGGCCGGGACAGUGUGGCCAAACAGACGGCUAUGUGCUAGAGGGGAAGGAGUUGGAGUUCUAUCUUAGGAAAAUCAAGGUCCGGAAAGGCAAAUAA
rnacentral:lncRNA from 1 species